GCCACUGUAGCUUAGUUGGUAGAGCAUCUGAUUCGUAAUCAGAAGGUCAGGAGUUCAAAUCUCCUCUGUGGCUCCA
rnacentral:tRNA from 1 species